GGCAGCAUGGUGCAGUGGUUUGAGUGUUGGCUUGUGACUUUGGAAUCCAGGGUUCGAAUCCCCGCUCAGUCA